rnacentral:pre_miRNA from 1 species
ACAGCUCUGUCAAACAGUGUUGCAUCGCCGUGACACAUGGCUAAAAAUGCCAUGUCAGCAAAAGGAAAAUUUGGUGGUGGGGGCAAAUUAAGAGUAAAAAUUUUUUUUUGCUUAAAUUUUUGAAAAUUUUCCUUUUUAAUCUGACAUGGCAUUUUUUAGCUACGUAUCACGAUGACGUGGCACUGUUUCACAGAGUUGU